AGUUGCUCAUGUGGAUAUGUGGGCUAUAAAUUAUAUUUCCCAACUUCUGCUGUGAUUGGAAGUGGUCUUGUACCAAAGUUAUGGCCACUGAGACAUGACUACAAGUGCCAUGGAAUAUUUCAUGGAAGUAGUCUUUAAAAAUGAAGACAAAGCCUUCCCUUUCUCCUACUUAUUGGUCUUAAUGGAGCUAUAAAGGGUGGAUAUUAGACAGCGGUCUUGAACUGUAAAGUGAAGGCCAUGAUUUGAAGGUGAUAAAACAACAAGAUGGAAAGUGACUAUCCCAGAUAGCACUGAAUGCAUUUCAAGCCACUAUGCUUUUAUAAGAGAAAAUAAAAUUGUAUUUUGGAGAAGCCAUUGUUGUUAUGGUUUCUUCUAUAAUAUCAGGUUGAAAUUAUAGAGAACAUAUUUAUAUAUAGAAAUUACCUAGAACAUAAUUCUUGCUGUUAUAGUAAGCUUCUUUAACAAAAUGAUAUUUAAGAUAAUCAAAGAAGGAACAGAGAAAGUUAUGAAAAAAAUAAUUUUUAAAAAUGAAUUGAUUAUAGGAAUAAAAGUAAAUUAAUUAAGUAGAAUAAUAACCACAGAAGAUUUCACCAAUAAAACAUAAGUCUAUUUCUUUGAAAAAUUCAAGGGUAUUUUGAGUUAAAUUGGUGGGUUGGACAUAUACCUUUAAUUUGGCUUCCUCUAAAUAUGCACUAACAUGAAAGUAAAGAGAUAUUUUCAAAAAUAUAAACUUAUAAUAAUGGAAAGAAGAAGGUAGAGGACAACAGGGAAAAAUCUUAGUAGUUGGAAAGUAAAUGAAUGAUUUAGUGGAAUGACAAACCAACUACCAAAUCCUGAAGUGUGAAAAGCUGAGAACCAAUCCUGUUGAGGCUGCAGGAUUUUCAGAAGCAUCAGAGCCAUCAGCCCUAGAUACUAUGGAAAUGAUGAUAGCAUGCCAAAUAUGGAGGGUCACAUUAAAAUUGCCUGAAAAGUGGUUAAAUCUACAGCAGAUAACUUUUCCCCAAUGUAGUCAAUGAGCAACCUCUUUCUCUGAUCCUAGCAUUAAUUCUAGAGUUUUGAUUUCUCAUCACCACAAAAAAGGAGAGUCAUUAUAUUAGAGGUUCCACUGGCAAAGUUGAGAGCAGGGGUCAUAUGGGUAGUAGAAAUAAAUGACCAUCUAAACAUUGUAUGCUGACGGAUUGUUAAAAUGCAAUGAGAGUCAUUGGGACCAAUUACAGAUGUUUCCGUUCUCAGACACAUGGCAGAAUUUUAAUUGUAUUUCUUCUUUAAAUUACAUGUGGCCAAUAAAAUGUGAGAAUAAAUGAUAUAUGUUACUUCUGGGCUAAGGCUUUCAGAGACUGCACAUGGUUUAACACAUUUACUUUCUCCAAUACAGUGAUCCUCAAAGCAUAGUUAGAGAUGGAGUCUCCAGAAGCCUGGAUCCCUGGCUGAGCACCAUGAGGACUCCAUGCUGAACUGUAUAGGAUAUAUAGUGUGAGAAAUGAAUCAACCUUCAUUGUGUUAAGCCUCUGAGAUUUGGAGGGGUUGUUUGAUAUUGAAGCAUUACCUAUCAUAUCCUGAGUGAUGCAGAUAUCCACUCGUCUUCCUCCAUCAGUCCUUUACCUUUUCAACUUAUACCUUUUCCUUUUGAGUAGGAGAUUUUAUAGAGUUGAAGAAUCUAACCAGUCCAAGUGGCAAAGACCUAUUCCGACUGACACUAGGGUUUCCCCAACCACAAGUGCUUCCAGUUCACCUUAGAGCACACAUCAAAAUGGACAAGCCCUGCCAACAUGCUUAGAGCUAGCACUGAACUCCUUAGGCUACCAAACUAAGUUAAGAACAGACACCUGAAUGAUACCCCUGAAGAAAGCUUCUAAAAAGAAAAACUGAAACAAAAACCAGGCAAAGAGGGAAAAAAGGUAAAUUGGACAAAAUAAAGUUUUCAGAGAUGAAAACUUGAAAAAAAACCCUAAAA